rnacentral:rRNA from 1 species
CUGGUUAGCUGGCUUUUCGAAGCAUGUGCUCGUCCGUCAUCUUUAUCUCUCCACCUGUGCACAUUUUGUAGUCUUGGAUACCUCUCGAGGCAACUCGGAUUUUAGGAUCGCUSUGCUGUACAAGUUGGCUUUCCUUUCAUUUCCAAGACUAUGUUUUUAUAUACACCAAAGUAUGUUUAAAGAAUGUUAUCAAUAGGAACUUGUUUCCUAUAAAAUUAUACAACUUUCAGCAACGGAUCUCUUGGCUCUCGCAUCGAUGAAGAACGCAGCGAAAUGCGAUAAGUAAUGUGAAUUGCAGAAUUCAGUGAAUCAUCGAAUCUUUGAACGCACCUUGCGCUCCUUGGUAUUCCGAGGAGCAUGCCUGUUUGAGUGUCAUUAAAUUCUCAACCUUCCAGCUUUUUAUUAGCUUGGUUUGGCUUGGAUGUGGGGGUUGCAGGCUUCAUUAAUGAGGUCGGCUCUCCUUAAAUGCAUUAGCGGAACUUUUGUGGACCGUCUAUUGGUGUGAUAAUUAUCUACGCCGUGGAUGUGAAGCAGCUUUAUAUGAAGUUCAGCUUCUAACCGUCCAUUGACUUGGACAAUUUUUGACAAUUUGACCUCAAAUCAGGUAGGACUACCCGCUGAACUUAAGCAUAUCAAUAAGCGGAGGAAAAGAAACUAACAAGGAUUCCCCUAGUAACUGCGAGUGAAGCGGGAAAAGCUCAAAUUUAAAAUCUGGCAGUCUUUGGCUGUCCGAGUUGUAAUC